rnacentral:rRNA from 1 species
AUGUCCGGCGCGGGGGAGUACCAGGAGAUGGCCGCGUCGGUGCCGCCGGCGCUCAAGGCCAUCACGCUCACCCACGUCCGCUACCACCGGGGCGACAGGGUCGGCCUCUUCCUCGCGUGGGUCUCCCUAAUCCCCGUCUUCAUCAGCCUCGGCGGCUUCAUCUCCCACUUCAUGUUCCGCCGCGAGCUGCAGGGCAUCUGCUUCGCCUUGGGGCUCCUCGUCUCGCAGGUCCUCAACGAGCUCAUCAAGCACUCCGUCGCGCAGUCCCGCCCGGCCUCGUGCGAGCUGCUCGAGACCUGCGACUCCCACGGCUGGCCGUCCAGCCACGCGCAGUACACCUUCUUCUUCGCCACCUACCUCUCGCUCUUCGUGCUCCGGCGGUCGCCGGCGAGCCGCGUCAUGGCCUCCUUCUCAUGGCCUCUCGCGUUCCUCACCAUGCUCUCCAGGGUGUAUCUCGGCUACCACACCGUCCCGCAGGUUUUCGCGGGAGCAGUAGUCGGCCUUGUAUUUGGUGCUAUCUGGUACUGGUUCGCCAACACCAUUCUUGCUCAAUACUUCCCAAUGAUUGAGGAGAGCGCAAUUGGGAGGUGGUUUUAUAUCAAGGAUACUUCACAUAUUCAAGAUGUGCUCAAGUUUGAGUAUGAUAAUGCAAGGGCAGCAAGGAAGAAAGUCGCUACUGAUUGA